UGAAUUUCUUCCCUGACUUUAUGAGUCAGCCACCUACCAUUUGCUUCUUGGCCACCAGGUGGCAUCCUCCAGAAAUGGACAUCUGUCCAUUGUCUCCCUUCUGAAGUCUCCAUGGAAAGGUAGACUCCAAUCAAGGUGUAGAAACAUGUCGGCAACAAUCAAGAGAAAUGGGAGGCACCUGACCUAAAUUUCAAGUGUUGUUGCAAAGGGUCUGAAUACUUAUGCCAAUGUGAUAUUUCAGUUUUUUUCUUUUUAAUAAAUUUACAGACAUUUCCAAAA